UACGUAGGGGGCAAGCGUUGUCCGGAUUUAUUGGGCGUAAAGAGCGUGUAGGCGGCCAGACAGGUCAGCUGUGAAAACUCGAGGCUCAACCUCGAGACGUCGGUUGAAACCGUCUGGCUAGAGUCCGGAAGAGGAGAGUGGAAUUCCCGGUGUAGCGGUGAAAUGCGCAGAUAUCGGGAAGAACACCCGUGGCGAAGGCGGCCUUCUGGCUCAUAACUGACGCUGUAGCGCGAAAGCGUGGGGAGCGAACCGG
rnacentral:rRNA from 1 species